rnacentral:lncRNA from 1 species
CAGUCUGCACGCAGCCGGGCCCUCUCAACCUUCAGUUUCUGGUGACAAAGAGCUGGAGGCUGACCCCACGGGGAGUGCCCCUUGCACGAGGCCUCUUCCCGCGGAGGCUGCCCUGGUCUUCCUCCAGCCUGCAGACAGCCUGAGACGGGUCCCCGGGGCCUGGGUGAACAGCUCGCGCUGACGUGGCUUCGGGCGCGGGUACUGAGCCAGCAAGGACACGGUGAGACAGCUGGGUCACACUUGGAUCUGGCGCA